rnacentral:rRNA from 1 species
GAUGAACGCUAGCUACAGGCUUAACACAUGCAAGUCGAGGGGCAGCAUGUCGGUUGCUUGCAACCGACGAUGGCGACCGGCGCACGGGUGAGUAACGCGUAUCCAACCUGCCUCUUACCAGGGAAUAACCCGUCGAAAGGCGGACUAAUGCCCUAUGCCCUCCGCGGCAGACAUCUAAUGCGGAGGAAAGAUUCAUCGGUAAGUGAUGGGGAUGCGUCUGAUUAGCUUGUUGGCGGGGUAACGGCCCACCAAGGCAACGAUCAGUAGGGGUUCUGAGAGGAAGGUCCCCCACAUUGGACCUGAGACACGGUCCAAACUCCUACGGGAGGCAGCAGUGAGGAAUAUUGGUCAAUGGGCGGAAGCCUGAACCAGCCAAGUAGCGUGCAGGACGACUGCCCUAUGGGUUGUAAACUGCUUUUAUGCGGGGAUAAAUGACACUACGUGUAGUGUUUUGCAGGUACCGCAUGAAUAAGGACCGGCUAAUUCCGUGCCAGCAGCCGCAGUAAUAC